rnacentral:misc_RNA from 1 species
UGCAUGUUUUUUUUUUUUUUUUAACGGUUGGUUAUUUUGGGACUGGCUUUGUUUUUGGGUGCUCUCAGCAGCAAGUACUGGGUAAUCCGAAAUCAUUCACCAUGAUUAUUAAUCUACGUAUGUAUUUCAUAAUUUAAGGAGCAAGACUGGCUUCAUUUUUGGGUGCUAAGCAGCAAGUACUGGGUAGUCUGAAAUCAUUCACCAUGAUUAUUUUACCUAUGUAUUUCAUAAUUUAAGGAGCAAGACUGGCUUCAUUUUUGGGUGCUAAGCAGCAAGU